rnacentral:ncRNA from 1 species
AAGGUGUCGAUGACUUAAAAGACAAGCUGGAAAAGCCAGCACGGUCCCGCCACUGUAUCAGCGAGCGACAUGGCGAUAUGCCACUGAGGGAUGUCCUCUCGGGAAGGCGCCAUGAAGCGAUGACCUGGAGUCAGUAAUCUGCCAAG